rnacentral:rRNA from 1 species
GACAGAGGGUGCAAACGUUGUUCGGAAUUACUGGGCGUAAAGCGCGUGUAGGCUGCUCCGAAAGUCGGAUGUGAAAGCCCUGGGCUCAACCUAGGAAGUGCAUUCGAAACUUCGGAGCUGGAGUUCUGGAGAGGAAGGCGGAAUUCUCGGUGUAGAGGUGAAAUUCGUAGAUAUCGAGAGGAACACCGGUGGCGAAGGCGGCCUUCUGGACAGUGACUGACGCUGAGACGCGAAAGCGUGGGGAGCAAACAGG